rnacentral:lncRNA from 1 species
CCCUUCUGGGGCUGCCCCCCCUUUCUUGUUGCAGCAGAAUCCCUUUCUGCGGGGAUGGACGUGUGCAAAGGGCUUGGAGGAAGCGCUGCGCUGCUGUCCGGGGCAGUCGGACUCGUUCUGUGCCUUCUUUGGGGCUCAGGGAAAGGGGGUGAAGACUCGGGGCUCUGAUGCCUUUUGGGGCAUCCCAAGGUCCCCAGGAGAGGGAACCCCACUGCGGUGCAGGAGCAGGGUCUGGGGGAACACCUGGAUUCGCGCUUGGAUACGUGGAGCAUCGCUUAAAGGAGGUGCCGAGGGACGAGUCUUUGUGCCGGGGAGCAGCAGCCGAACAGGUGAGCCCGUGUGGAUUUGGAGCGGGGACUUUUGUCCUUCCCCUUUUGAAUUUCACCUUGCCAAUCACUCCCCAGUGCCCCCAGGGUAAAACAAAACAAAACAAAACAAAAAAAAAAAAAGGAGCUUAUGAGGAGAAAAUAAAUUAA